AAACUAUUAAUGAAAAAACAUUUUCAUAAACUGAAAUAAAAUAAAUAACAAAUCUGAAAAACUAAAACGAUACGAAACGAUUACAGUAGCUUAAAAGACUAACUGAAAUAAAAUAAUAAUUUCUAAAAAAAAAAUCAUACAUAUCAUACAAGACAGCAGACAUUAACAUCAUGUUUGCAGAGGACAGCAAAUUGGGGAACAAACUCAGCUGAACACCAAAAACGCGAAGAUGCCCAAGUAAACUUGUUUAUUGAAACUGGCAUGUCUACUAGGCUGUGUGACAUGCCUUCAUUCAGAAAAUUUGUUUCCUCUCUUGAUCCCAAAUUUAGCAUGCCAC